GAAAAAGUGUGGAAAAUAAAGGAAAACAAGUGAAAAAGGUGGUGAAUCCUUCAAUAAAGGCAAAGAAAUUGUACUCGAGGAUCAAUAGUCGGAGUACUCUAAAAAAUUCGACUUUUGAAAUAGCUCAGUAUAGGUUGUAGAUAGCUGAUAUCGUCGAACGCUACAGUUGGCUUUACUUCCUCAAAAGCUGUAGGUUUGCAACCUUCGUUCAUUUUUGUCAAUUGGGGGUCCACGUGUCAGUGUAAAUUAAAUUUUAUACUUUGGUUAUCUGUAUUACAGUAUGUAUGAAUUUAUUUAGCUUUUACGCUACAAAAA